UUGGUGGAUUUUUCUACCUUUGGACAGAGCCAGGCUUGCUGUUUCCCCCUGUAUCCAGUCUUUAUGCUAAGCUAAGCUAAGCUAACCAGCGGCUGGCUUUAGCUUUAUAUUUAACAGAGUGAUGUGAGU